rnacentral:ribozyme from 1 species
UUGAGUCCAAUGCUCUGCAAUGGGAUGGGAUCCGAAGCCUCUUGAGGUAUAAUGCAGGUAACAUCCAACUCCUAUUCCGACACGUUCUCGUCGUGCAGAGUGGUAACAUGUGCCAUCAUUUAUCCAUGCUUAGGUAAACGGGCUUGACCCAACCCCUUGGGUGGAUGAUGGCACAUGGCAAACCAGGAGGGU